UGUUUGAUUUACAACAAAUGUUCCCAGCGUGCAUCUUGCCCCGUGAUGUUAAGAAUUUUCCUUCUCUAAGGCUGGCUGCAGUGGAUCAAAGUAACUGGGGACCUUGCAGCAGGCUGGCAUCAAGAACUGGCCCUCUGCUGGGAAAUGUAGGUCAGCUUCCCAUAACCAGCUCAGGCAGGACAUCUAAAAUUGCACCAGCUCUGCCAGCAUUGUACUCAGAUGGGUCCGAGCUACCACUUAAGGGUGUGCUUACUGUUACUGGAGCCUGAAUUGCUGCCAGGAGUGCUGUGCAUAACAGGUUAUUUUCACAACUGUUCAUAAGACCAGUGAAACUAUGGAAGGAGAGAGGAGUUUCAAGGCCAGGAGAAACACUCUUAGUAACUUGCUAUAAACCCUCUGUGUGGUGUUUGGAGGCAACAGGUAAGGAAGGAUUUUGUCCUCACCUGCAACUGAGUGCAUUAAUUCACUUGUAACCUUAAUAGAAGAUAAUGUAUAUUGAUCCUUGCUUGCCCAGGAGAGUGGUAAGUCAUGGCAAAAAUGAGUAACUGUGCAGAAGCUGGAGGAACUGACUUAAAGUUGAUUCUUCUAGUGCCUCCUAUCUGCUCCAGUCUGAUUAUUAAACAGACUUACUGCUAACUUGCCUAAGAAAGGUCUGCCAAAAUACAGGGGCUAAUUUAAAAGUACAUGACUUCUGUAUGUGCCAAGAGGCGCUGCUUUAAUUAAUUAUAUGCAAAAUAUGAUGUUAGACUGCCCUACAACUUGAUACUUGGAAUUUAACAGGUGGCCGUGAUAUGAAGCAACAUUAUACAAAUAACAUGUUCUGUUCCCUGCCCUCACUCAAAUGUUCAUGUCUGAUUACCUCAGUUAACAAGUUAAAAUAAGACUUGUCAUGAAUUGGAUUUUCCUUUAAAAGGCUAGUCAGGUUGUUUUCUUUCUGUUUUAAGUGUUGCUAUGAGCCUCUACCACAAAUUUAGUUCUUGAACAAGAAUUUACAGAUGCUUUUGCUGAUGUGCAUGUGUGACAAGAUGUUCCUUCAGUGAUAUGUUAUUCUCAGGAGGCUGAAGGGGAAGGGGGAAUCAUGCUUUGGUUGUAAAGUAAUACAGGAAACAAUCCCUUUUUCAUUAAAAACACCAGUAAAGUUUCCGUUGCUUUGGGGAGUGAAAACCUCAGUCCCUAAGAAACAGGUUAUUUCAAAAACAUGGUUGUCUUACCCAAUCUUGUUAAUGCUGGAAAAGGGUGACUUUCUGAUCGUUUCUCAGCGGAAUUAAGAGUAAAAUUGUGGACUGCAAAUCCUGAUGAGGAGUGCAACAUUGAUUAAAAGCAGCUCUUUCUAUGAUGAAUUUCUAAUAAGCUCUAACAGCAGUAGUAACUGAGUACUUAAUGAUGACCAGGGAAAAAAAAUUGCAUCAGAGAUAGAGGAGGUCAAACCAUCCUUUCCACUGAAGAAAGUGAUGUGGAGUAAGAGUCCAGCAUCCUUAGUGGUAAAAGGAUGUCCCCUGCAGGGAAUGUCAGGUAGAGGUCAGCUUUGGAGACAAUCUUAAUUCAGCUCUCUCAGUCUGUUUCUUAUUUCUAAAACUGCAAACUGUAGAGAUGAAACUUUGUUGUGUUCAUGUAGUGCAUAAUAGAGUGAGGCCUUGUAUAAUGCUACAAGCCAGAAUUAUUGUAGUAAUAAAUUAAGUUUUGAUGUCAUCUAAGAUUCGGCUUUUUCACCUUCAAAGACAUU
rnacentral:lncRNA from 1 species